AUGGGUAUCUUAGGUGGUAUCUUAGCAGCACUGUUGCUGAUUACCUUAAUCUUCCUUGGACUGAUGAUAUACAAACAUUAUGGGACUACGGUCAAAUUCCUAAUAAAUAAAAAGUUCUCCAAGGAUUUCCCUGAGAGCUAUGAGAACCAAGCUUACAAUCAAGAUGAACACCCAGAUCUGAGUGCCAAAGAGCAGAAGAGCUCAGAAAAUGGUGGUAUAACUGAGCUACAGCAGCCAUCGUUUUUCUUGUCCUCUUCUAAAGAAGAAAUAGAUGGCCUCCCAAAGACUUCCACAGCUUCCACAGUCGUCUUUGACGUGGAAGAGAAAGAGGAAGAGGAAAACGAAGAGGAAGAGGUGAAAGAAGACACUAAGCAUGAGAAAGAAGUAAAGUCUAUCCUCAAAACAGACAGGAAUGAGGGGGAUCAUGGCUACAAAGCUGUGUGGUUUAAGACCGAUGUGGAUCCAGAUGCUGGAGAAAAGGUUGAAGUGAUUAAGGACAAUGCAUCAGAUUAUGAUGAUGACAGUGAUCAAGAUCUGCAGGAGAAUGAGGAGGAAGAAGAUGACAAGGAUGAUCACCACAGAGGGUCAGGGGCUGCAGAAGUGAUGAUUAACAUGUCUCGCACAGCGUCACAAGAUAGCAUUAUUGUGUAAUGGAAAUAAGCCUGUAUGCUCCCCACUGAAAUCAGGGAAUCUCUGCUGCUUUGCUGAGAUGGAGCCCACCUUUCUGCUUGGGGCUAACUGGAAUGCAGGAGGACACAGUUGCCUCUCCUGCAUGCAGAGAUUAAAGCCAGAUUACAAUUAAUUUAACUUCUUAACAAGACCUUGAAACACCACAUGGGAUUUUGGAUGGGGAAAACAUGUCUCAUCUCUCCACCCUUCUGCCUGUUUGCCCUGGAGUCCCCUACAUCACAUUUCCCAUACUGGCUGCAGGAAUAGCAGAGAUAUAGCUACACUGACUUUGAAGCAGUUAACUCAGCUCAUGGUAGCAAUUUAAUUGCACAAUCCAAUGCCCUCAUCUCCGCCUGGUGGGUAACUGAGCCAGCACUGACUGCUUGGCUGUUCCUGUUAGGGUGGUUGCAGGUUGAUGCCAGCUGCAGGGCAUAAGCCAGCACAAGUCACUCUGCAGUUGCUCAUAUGACUGCAUCCAGGAGCACACAUCAGGGCUUGGCUAUGCUCUCUGCACCCCAGCACAAGCAACUGGCAUGACAUUCAAGGAGACUGGGAGCAGCAGGAGUGCCACAACAGGUCACCUUUUUGCCAGUAAGCGGGUGUUCAAAUGCUCGGGAGCUGCUGUUUCUUCCAUCAAUGAUAAGCAAGGACGGAUCACAUGCUCUUUCCUAAGGACUUUGCCACACAUUUUUCUAUGUCACAAGACAACUAAUCGUGCUGUACCUUGUGGGCCAGAUAAGAGCUUCUGCCAGAACCUGCCGACAAAAUGCCAGGGGUAUUUCCAGCUCCCAGGGAUUUUGGCAGCAAUAGAUAUCAUUCUGGGGUGCUGGAUGUAGGUCAGCACGUUGCUUCCCAUUGUGUCCUUUGUGCAGCAGGACUCGAGGUAUCCCUUAUAAAAGGGACUUCAUUGUCACUGAAAGUGGAAGUCAGCAUUUGCUUCCAAGUGCCUGACAUCACUGCCUUCUCUGCCCCUCACUUGUGGAUGCAAGCCUCUUUGCAUUCCCACCUUUCUCCAUUCAUGAGAAGCCCAGCAGGCUCUUUUACUGGUGAAAUACAAUCUUCAGGAUUCACCGAGGGCUGAGCUGUAGCCUGAAAAAGGAGGUAGUUCGCUGAGAGCAAGUAAUCUCUGCCGUGUGUGGCUUUUGAGCCUAGGUUUGUGCUAGAAAGGCUGCUAACAUGAUGGACUCCUCCCUCAAUCCUCCCUCAUCUUUCAGCAAUCUUGUCUUCAGCUGUGGUCCUGCCAUCAGUUCAGCAAAGAUAAUACGCCAUUGCCUGGCAGCAUGGGGAUUGGUACUUCAGUCCAGAUUCACAACAGCAAAUUGCUUCUCCCAGCUGGCAAUCAAAAACCGGGAUGUUUUCCACUGACUGAGAACAUGGCCGUUUGCAUUUGAAUCUUCUGAUCUAUCAACACAAAAUUUGUGCUGCUGCUGGUUUUCCACUGGGGGGCUAGCUCAGGGCAGAUGCGGGCUGUGGAGCAUUAAACUUUCAGUAAGACAGGGACGAUAAACCUGGGUCACAAAUCUUUAUCUCACUUGCUCAGGUUAGCACAACAGCACAGAACUGUAACAUUAUAAGUGUCCUUUGAGAGAAGCAACAACAAUAAGUACUCCUGCCUUUGCCCUGCAGGGCAAAUCUCCACAUUUCUUCCUUUAAUCUAGAUAAACCCUUAAGAGAGUGAAACCAAAAUACGUCUGCCGGGAUUCUCAUCUACACCAAAACACAGGACAAUCACUUCUGAGCAGGCUUUCAUCUAGGUUUAUACUUUGUUUCUGUACAUCUCCCCAUCCCAGUGUUGUUAGUGCUCAUCUCUGUUGUCCUGUCUCUGAGGAGAGCUAACCUCGCUGUGUGUGGACUUCAGGAGCUGCACUUUUGCUGAAGGUGGAGACUGAGAUAUGGAAAGCUUUCGUCCUUACUGCAAUAAAGCUAUUUGCCCAGAAAUUACA
rnacentral:lncRNA from 1 species